GUAGGCGGUUAAGUAAGUAGUGUGUGAAAUGAUGAGGCUCAACCUCAUGCCCAUACACUAAACUGCUUUGACUAGAGAAUGGAAGAGGUCGCUGGAAUUCCUGGUGUAGGGGUGAAAUCCGUAGAUAUCAGGAGGAACACCGAUGGCGUAGGCAGGCGACUGGUCCAUUUCUGACGCUGAGACACGAAAGCGUGGGGAGCGAUCGGGAUUAGAUACCCCGGUAGUCCACGCCGUAAACGAUGGAUGCUAGCUGUGCGGAGUAUCGACCCUCUGCGUAGCAAAGCUAACGCGUUAAGCAUCCCGCCUGUGGAGUACGAGCGCAAGCUUAAAACAUAAAGGAAUUGACGGGGACCCGCACAAGCGGUGGAGCGUGUUGUUUAAUUCGAUGGUAAGCGAAGAACCUUACCCAGGCUUGACAUCCUGCCAAGGUCUCCGAAAGGGGACUGUGCCUUCGGGCCGCAGUGACAGGUGCUGCAUGGCCGUCGUCAGCUCGUGUCGUGAGAUGUUUGGUUAAGUCCAUCAACGAGCGCAACCCUUAUAGUUAGUUGGAUUUUUCUAGCUAGACUGCCUCGGCAACGGGGAGGAAGGAGGGGAUGACGUCAGGUCAGUAUUGCCCUUACGCCUGGGGCUACAAACACGCUACAAUGGCCGGUACAAAGGGCUGCCAACCCGCGAGGGGGAGCAAAUCCCAUCAAAGCCGGUCUCAGUUCGGAUAGCAGGCUGAAACUCGCCUGCUUGAAGCUGGAAUCGCUAGUAACGGUAGGUCAGCACACUACCGUGAAUACGUUCCCGGGUCUUGUACACACCGCCCGUCAAGCCACGAAAGUCGCCAAUAUCCAACGUCCUAGCUUGUCUAGGCCUAAGGUAGGGGUGAUGAUUGGGGUU
rnacentral:rRNA from 1 species